AGUGAACGCUGGCGGUAGGCCUAACACAUGCAAGUCGAACGGCAGCACAGUAAGAGCUUGCUCUUACGGGUGGCGAGUGGCGGACGGGUGAGGAAUACAUCGGAAUCUACUUUUUCGUGGGGGAUAACGUAGGGAAACUUACGCUAAUACCGCAUACGACCUACGGGUGAAAGCAGGGGAUCUUCGGACCUUGCGCGAUUGAAUGAGCCGAUGUCGGAUUAGCUAGUUGGCGGGGUAAAGGCCCACCAAGGCGACGAUCCGUAGCUGGUCUGAGAGGAUGAUCAGCCACACUGGAACGAAGACACGGUCCAGACUCCUACGGGAGGCAGCAGUGGGGAAUAUUGGACAAUGGGCGCAAGCCUGAUCCAGCCAUACCGCGUGGGUGAAGAAGGCCUUCGGGUUGUAAAGCCCUUUUGUUGGGAAAGAAAAGCAGCAGGUUAAUACCCCGCUGUUCUGACGGUACCCAAAGAAUAAGCACCGGCUAACUUCGUG
rnacentral:rRNA from 1 species